rnacentral:rRNA from 1 species
UACGUAGGGUGCAAGCGUUAAUCGGAAUUACUGGGCGGUAAAGACGUGCGCAGGCGGUUAUGUAAGACAGGUGUGAAAUCCCCGGGCUUAACCCUGGGAACUGCAUUUGUGACUGCAUAGCUAGAGUACGGUAGAGGGGGAUGGAAUUCCGCGUGUAGCAGUGAAAUGCGUAGAUAUGCGGAGGAACACCGAUGGCGAAGGCAAUCCCCUGGACCUGUACUGACGCUCAUGCACGAAAGCGUGGGGAGCAAACAGG